GUGUCAGCAGCCGCGGUAAUACGAAGGGUGCAAGCGUUACUCGGAAUUACUGGGCGUAAAGCGUGCGUAGGUGGUUCGUUAAGUCUGAUGUGAAAGCCCUGGGCUCAACCUGGGAAUUGCAUUGGAUACUGGCGGGCUAGAGUACGGUAGAGGGUAGUGGAAUUCCUGGUGUAGCAGUGAAAUGCGUAGAGAUCAGGAGGAACAUCCGUGGCGAAGGCGACUACCUGGACCAGUACUGACACUGAGGCACGAAAGCGUGGGGAGCAAACAGGAUUAGAAACCCCCGUAGUCC
rnacentral:rRNA from 1 species